UGGUAACACUUUUAUAUACAUAUAUAUAUGGAAAAACUUUAAAAACUCCACGUGGUUUCACAUUUUUUCAUUUUAGUGCCAUGUGGUUUAAAGUGUAUCAAAUUAGUAUUUUGUGGUUUCUCACUUUAUUACUUUAGUACUCUGUGAUUUAAAGUGUAUCAAGUUAGUACUUUGUGGUUUUAUUUUUGUAUCAAGUUAGUAUCCUGUGAUUUUAUUUUUGUAUCAAGUUAGUAUCCUGUGGUUUUUAAACCACAGGGUACUGAAGUGAUAAAGUGCGAAACCACAAGGCAAAACCACAGGGUACUAACUUGAUACACUUAAAACCACAGGGUACUAACUUUAUACACUUUAAACCGGGUGCUAAAGUGAGAAAAAGUGAAACCACAAGAGGGGUAUUUGAAGUUUUCCAUAUAUAUAUAUAUAUAUAUAUAUAUAUAUAUAUAUAUAUAUAUAUAUAUGGGGCAAUUGCUUAUAUACUCCUGAAAAGUUUCCGACUUUUCGAUUUAUCCAUCUUAGAAGGCUAAUAUUGAAGAUACCCUUUCUACGUUCCAACAUAUUUCUAAUAUACCCAUAGAGUUAAAAUCCGUUAAUUAACUCUGUUAUCUCUGUAAAAUUACUAUUUUACCCUUUCAAAUAUACUUUUUCACCAUCACGAACUUUCUUAUUUGCCCUUAAAGUCAAGGGGCACAAAAGUAUUUUGACUUUUGGUCUUUUCCGAUGUACCCCUCUACCGUCAUCAACAUUUCUUAUUUGCUUUCAAGUUAAGGGUAAAAUUGGUAUUUUAAUUUUUUUUUAACUGUGGUAGAUAUUUAACUCACGUUUAACCUAAGUUAACUUAACAGAAGAUAACUGCAGAGGUAUUUUGCAAUAACGGUGGAACAUAUGAGGGGUAUUUUAGAAAAAAAAAAAGAAGAAUAAAUUAGAUAUUUUCAAAUGUAUGAGAGGUAUAUAGGCAAUUAUUCCUAUAUAUAUAUAUAUAUAUAUAGAGUGAGGCUACUAUGCUAUCGGAAGNNNNNNNNNNNNNNNNNNNNNNNNNAAAAAAAAAUUGAUAUUUAUAAUUUAUAAUUUAAAAUUAUAAACUUUAAUUUAGAUUAUAAAUUAUAAAUUUUAAAAAUUUAAAAUUUAAUUUUUAAAAUUUUAAAAUAAGAAUAGGAUGGGAACAAUUAAUAAAAAUAAUUUAUUAUAAAUAAAUUUAUAGAUUUUUUUUAAAAAUUCUACUUAACUUAAAUUUAAUAAAAAGAAUUUAUUAUAAUACUUAAAUAUAAUUUAUUAUAAUUUUAUUAUAAUAUUUAAAUAUAAAUAAUAUUGUAUUAAUAUAGUAUAAUUAAAUUAUUAAAUAAAAUAAUGUAUUAUAAAUAUAUAAUAUUAUAUUUAUAUACUUUAGUUUUAAUUCAAUUUAAAUUUUAAUUAAGUUUGAAAUUAAGCAUUGGAAUAGCGCCAUUCCACUAAAAUGGUGGAAUAACAAAUUUCUUACUAUCCGGGAUAACCGGGAAUAGCAAGGUUUGACCGGAAUAAAAUAUUCCGGUCAAUUUUCAUCCCGUUUGGCGGAAUAGCGGGAUAACUUUCGUUAUCCCCGCUUAUUCCCCCAACAAACGGGGCAAGUGUAUAAAUAGGAUUUAGGGUUGCCUCCACUUUCAUUGACGCUUGACCUUGGUGAUUGAGUUUAGGAGACGCAACGACCUGUCAUAUCACGUACGACUCUACACCCUAGCUCCACAGUAGAAAGAAGAGAAAUUCUGUCUUGUGCAAUUUUUUUUUUCUUUUUUUUCCUCUUUAGAGAAUUUCUUUCAUUACAGUUAUUCGGUAUAACAUAUAGACAUUCUAUCAAAAUAUUUUAUAUAUAAUAUAAAAUAUAAAUAAUUAAUUUUUACAAAAAUAUUAUUUUUAUUACUUUUAAAUUAUUUUAUACAUUACAACUAAUUAAUUUAGAAUAUAUUCUGUAUCAAGUUAUAUUUAGAAUAUAUCCUGAAUAUAUAUAUAUAUAUAUAAUAUAUAUAAUAUAUAUAUUAUAUAUAUAUAUUAUAAUAUAUAAGUGAGACUAUGGCUAUCGGAAGCACAGAGCCUUCCGUGCUUCCAGCUCGUUUUUGAUGUUGCGACUUUCGAAUCGUCGAUCGGCUCCGUUAAACUUGAUCUAGAGUAUUUGGAGUACCUAGAAAAUAAAUUUAUUAUUUUUCGAUAUCAUUUGCCUAGUGAUUGAAUGGGCUCAAAAUCAACAAAUUUCAAUGGCCGUAUGAGCCGUUUGCAAUUUAACGUAUAAAAAUAUCCAAAUAACGUGAAAUUUUGAUAGAAAAUUUCUUAUACUAUAUAAAACAAGAUCAAUAUUUUUGAUUUAAAAUUUUAAUGUCAUAUUAUUACAUUUUGUAAGAUUUUAUUUUCAGCCGUUGAUUUUGAGCCCCUUCGUUCACUAGGUAAAUAUAUCGUAAAAUCAUAAAAUUUAUUUCCUAAGUACUUCAAAUACUCUAGAUUAAGUUUAACGGAGCCGAUCGACGAUUCGAAAGUCGCAAACAUCGAAAACGAGUUAGAACACGAAGGCUCCGGCUUAUAUAUAUAUAUAUAUAUAUAUAUAUAUAUAUAUAUAUAUAUAUAUAUAUGGGGCAAUUGCUUAUAUACUCCUGAAAAGUUUCCGACUUUUCGAUUUAUCCAUCUUAGAAGGCUAAUAUUGAAGAUACCCUUUCUACGUUCCAACAUAUUUCUAAUAUACCCAUAGAGUUAAAAUCCGUUAAUUAACUCUGUUAUCUCUGUAAAAUUACUAUUUUACCCUUUCAAAUAUACUUUUUCACCAUCACGAACUUUCUUAUUUGCCCUUAAAGUCAAGGGGCACAAAAGUAUUUUGACUUUUGGUCUUUUCCGAUGUACCCCUCUACCGUCAUCAACAUUUCUUAUUUGCUUUCAAGUUAAGGGUAAAAUUGGUAUUUUAAUUUUUUUUUAACUGUGGUAGAUAUUUAACUCACGUUUAACCUAAGUUAACUUAACAGAAGAUAACUGCAGAGGUAUUUUGCAAUAACGGUGGAACAUAUGAGGGGUAUUUUAGAAAAAAAAAAAGAAGAAUAAAUUAGAUAUUUUCAAAUGUAUGAGAGGUAUAUAGGCAAUUAUUCCUAUAUAUAUAUAUAUAUAUAUAGAGUGAGGCUACUAUGCUAUCGGAAGCACGGAGCCUUCCGUGCUUCUAACUCGUUUUCGAUGUUGCGACUUUCGAAUCGUCGAUCGGCUCCGUUAAACUUAAUCUAGAGUAUUUGAAGUACUUAGGAAAUAAAUUUUAUGAUUUUACGAUAUCAUUUACCUAGUGAACGAAGGGGCUCAAAAUCAACGGCUGAAAAUAAAAAUCUUACAAAAUGUAAUAAUAUGACAUUAAAAUUUUAAAUCAAAAAUAUUGAUCUUGUUUUAUAUAGUAUAAAGAAUUUUCUAUCAAAAUUUCACGUUAUUUGGAUAUUUUUAUACCGUUAAACUUGCAAACGGCUCACUACGGCCAUUGAAAUUUGUUGAUUUUGAGCCCAUUCAAUCACUAGGCAAAUGAUAUCGAAAAAUAAUAAAAUUUAUUUUCUAGGUACUCCAAAUACUCUAGAUCAAGUUUAAC
rnacentral:lncRNA from 1 species